AACGAACGCUGGCGGCAUGCCUAACACAUGCAAGUCGAACGAGACCUUCGGGUCUAGUGGCGCACGGGUGCGUAACGCGUGGGAACCUGCCUUUAGGUUCGGAAUAACUCAGAGAAAUUUGAGCUAAUACCGGAUGAUGUCUUCGGACCAAAGAUUUAUCGCCUUUAGAUGGGCCCGCGUAAGAUUAGCUAGUUGGUGGGGUAAAGCCUACCAAGGCGACGAUCUUUAGCUGGUCUGAGAGGAUGAUCAGCCACACUGGGACUGAGACACGGCCCAGACUCCUACGGGAGGCAGCAGUGGGGAAUAUUGGACAAUGGGCGAAAGCCUGAUCCAGCAAUGCCGCGUGAGUGAUGAAGGCCUUAGGGUUGUAAAGCUCUUUUACCCGAGAUGAUAAUGACAGUAUCGGGAGAAUAAGCUCCGGCUAACUCCGUAGCCAGCAGCCGCGGUAAU
rnacentral:rRNA from 1 species